rnacentral:rRNA from 1 species
UACGGAGGGUGCGAGCGUUGUUCGGAAUUACUGGGUGUAAAGCGCGUGUAGGCGGCCUUCUAAGUCUGGUGUGAAAGCCCGGGGCUCAACUCCGGAAGUGCAUUGGAUACUGGGAGGCUGGAGUACCGGAGAGGGGGGUGGAAUUCCUGGUGUAGCGGUGAAAUGCGUAGAUAUCAGGAGGAACACCGGUGGCGAAGGCGGCCCUCUGGACGGAUACUGACGCUGAGACGCGAAAGCGUGGGGAGCAAAC